rnacentral:rRNA from 2 species
CUCGUAGGCGGUUUGUCGCGUCUGUCGUGAAAUCCUCUGGCUUAACUGGGGGCGUGCGGUGGGUACGGGCAGACUAGAGUGCGGUAGGGGAGACUGGAAUUCCUGGUGUAGCGGUAAAAUGCGCAGAUAUCAGGAGGAACACCGGUGGCGAAGGCGGGUCUCUGGGCCGUUACUGACGCUGAGGAGCGAAAGCAUGGGGAGCGAACA